GGAGCAUGUGGCUUAAUUUGACUCAACACGGGAAAUCUUACCGGGUCCGGACAUACCGAGGAUUGACAGACUGUUAACUGCAACACAAGCUGCUAAGUUUUAAACUUAAUAGCUCUUUCAUGAUUAUAUGAUAGGUGGUGCAUGGCCGUUCUUAGUUCGUGGAGUGAUCUGUCUGCUUAAUUGCGUUUCAAAAUUUAAACCUGAGCGACAAGGUGCUGCUAUCGAAACUGUCUUUGAGUGUGAACUAUAAGUCUUUUGACUUAUGACCAUCACUCUAGACGUUUAUGUUUUGGUGUUGGCCCUUGAUGCUCAUUUGAACGCAACGGACGUGAUUGCAACCCCUUGUUGAGAUUUAUCCGAUCUCUACGUUCACUGAACCACACUCUUUAGCGAGAGCAGUGGGGAUGUGGAUAAACUCGGGGGACUGCUGACUAUAAACUUUUCUCAAACCAGAGGAAGGUUGCGGCAAUAACAGGUC
rnacentral:rRNA from 1 species